rnacentral:tRNA from 1 species
GUGGUGGCUCAGCGGUAGAGCACUCACCUAGCAUGGGCGAGGUCCUGGGUCCGAUCCUCAGCACCACA